AAGCCCAUGGAAAAGGCAUAGUCUUAACAAGUCUUUAUAAUGCUCCCACGUGUCAAACAAGGAUUCCUUAUCUUCUUGCCUAAAAUUGUUGAUCUCAUUCCUAACUU